AGAGAAGCUUGCUUCUCUUGAGAGCGGCGGACGGGUGAGUAAUGCCUAGGAAUCUGCCUGGUAGUGGGGGAUAACGUUCGGAAACGGACGCUAAUACCGCAUACGUCCUACGGGAGAAAGCAGGGGACCUUCGGGCCUUGCGCUAUCAGAUGAGCCUAGGUCGGAUUAGCUAGUUGGUGAGGUAAUGGCUCACCAAGGCGACGAUCCGUAACUGGUCUGAGAGGAUGAUCAGUCACACUGGAACUGAGACACGGUCCAGACUCCUACGGGAGGCAGCAGUGGGGAAUAUUGGACAAUGGGCGAAAGCCUGAUCCAGCCAUGCCGCGUGUGUGAAGAAGGUCUUCGGAUUGUAAAGCACUUUAAGUUGGGAGGAAGGGUUGUAGAUUAAUACUCUGCAAUUUUGACGUUACCGACAGAAUAAGCACCGGCUAACUCUGUGCCAGCAGCCGCGGUAAUACAGAGGGUGCAAGCGUUAAUCGGAAUUACUGGGCGUAAAGCGCGCGUAGGUGGUUUGUUAAGUUGGAUGUGAAAUCCCCGGGCUCAACCUGGGAACUGCAUUCAAAACUGACUG
rnacentral:rRNA from 1 species